GGACACUCCCUCCAGAGCAGAAGGAAAGUAUUACCAUUGGGAUAUAUAGACAUCAAUGGAGUGACAAGCAAGGACAUAUUUUUGGUAUCCCAACACAAACCAUGCGACUUGUGUCUGUGAUUAGGUUGCAAGCAGGGUGUGUUGAGUCCUCGCGGGCUGACACGCCCCAAGCCGGCUCCAUCAUCAGCGGGCUCGGAUUGGAGGAGGCGCACAGCAACUGACUUAGCGGGAAGCUGCUUGGCUCUCGAUUGGUUGGACUGUCUGACAGCUCUCUAUUUUAAGCAGCUGUCAGGAGGAAAGGUUCCAUUCUGUUUUGCUUGUUGAGGCUGUUUAAUAAAGUUACCUGUUCAGCA